rnacentral:rRNA from 1 species
GAUGAACGCUGGCGGCGUGCUUAACACAUGCAAGUCGAACGGAAAGGCUCCUGCUUGCAGGGGUACUCGAGUGGCGAACGGGUGAGUAACACGUGGGUGAUCUGCCCUGCACUUCGGGAUAAGCCUGGGAAACUGGGUCUAAUACCGGAUAGGACGAUGGUUUGGAUGCCAUUGUGGAAAGUUUUUCGGUGUGGGAUGAGCUCGGGGCCUAUCAGCUUGUUGGUGGGGUAAUGGCCUACCAAGGCGUCGACGGGUCGCCGGCCUGAGAGGGUGUACGGCCACAAUGGGCCUGAGGGAGGGCCCAGACUCCUACGGGGGGCAGCAGUGGGGAAUAUUGCACAAUGGGAGCACGCCUGAUGCAGCGACGCUGCGUGGGGGAUGACGGCUUUCGGGUUGUAAACUCCUUUCGCUAGGGACGAAGCGCUAGUGACGGUACCUGGAGAAGAAGCACCGGCUAACUACGUG